CGGUCACUAUCUUCUGGAAGGAAAAGAAAAACGUACAACCCGCGUUUACGUACAACUUCAUUGUCGCAGGAAAAUCCAAGAAAAGCUUGUUCACGUAAGAGCAGAAGAGUCGGCUCUUCUGAUUUUCAUUCUUUAUUAAGGAACCGCUGAAAUUUCCAGACUGGAAGAAUGGGACAGCAGCAAUCGAAAGAAGAAUUGUUGUAUCAGCAUGUAACUUAUGGAGAUAUUGAAGGCAUCAGAGCUCUGCGAAGGGAAGGUGCUGGCCUUGAGUGGAUUGAUAGAGAAGGGAAGACUCCCCUCAUUGCAGCUUGCAUGAGUCUGGAGCUCUAUAAUAUAGCAAAAACUUUGAUAGAAUUGGGAGCAAAUGUCAAUGCUUACCGUCCAGGUCGCCAAGGUGGGACUCCUCUACACCAUGCUGCUAAAAGAGGCCUUGAGCAGACUGUAAAGUUGCUUCUUUCACAUGGAGCAAAUGCACUAGUGAUGAAUGAUGAUUGUCAAACCCCUCUCGACAUUGCUAGAGCCAAAGGGUACAGUAAUAUUGUCCGAGCAAUUGAGGGUCACGUGUGCUUAUUCUCUGGCUGGCUGCGAGAAUUUUAUGGACCAGGCUUUCUGGAACUGCUGGCUCCUCAAUUGCUUUCAAGAAAAGUUUGGGUGGUUAUUUUACCUUGUGGUUCCCGUAACCUCCGUAAACCUUUCAAGUUGGAGCUUGCGAUCUACAGCGGUUUACAGGAAGCUCAACCUCGAACUAUAGUUCCACUCUGGAAGGCCAAUCUAGAUGAACCAAAUUUUAGCCAGCCUGAUCCAACGGCUGUCAUCUCUGAUAUUUCAAGAAUCCCAAGACGCUGGCGGAGAAGGCGAGCCAUUAAGCCCUCCCAAGAGGCGAGGCGUACACGGAUUAAACUUGCACCUAUGAAUGAAAGUGAAAAAGAGCACUUGCAGCGGUUUUGCAAUGCGUGCAAAGGGAUCCCUCAGGUGAUGCAUCAAGUGUUUCCUUUCAACAACCAAGUCCCUACUGCUCCAGCAGCUGCACCACCAACUUCCGAAGAUGUAGAACUAGCUAUGGCAAUUAAUGCUUCCCUUCAGUGUGCGUCACUUGAAACACCACCCCUUAGAGAUUCUUGUACAGGGUCUGCUGCAGAUGCACCCGCCAGUUCGGUCAACCCUACAAAUAGCCUUAGUCAUAAACUGAACUACAUGAAUGAAGCAUCUACUAGUCACAUGCCAAAUGGAAGCAAUUCUGAGUUUCAGGAAGCUGCUCCACUCUCUACUCCGUCAGCGCCACCUGUUGCAAAUGCAGCUGUAGAUGAUGGACCAAUCCACUAUCCAUCAAUUGAUGUGAGCUCUAUUGACUUUUCUUCGCCCACUGAGCCAGUGAUAACCACUAGCGCCAACGAAAAGAAAGAAGAUGGUGCUCCUUCGUCUUGUACGAUAUGCCUGGAUGCUCCACUGGAGGGGGCUUGUAUCCCAUGCGGGCACAUGGCUGGAUGCAUGUCUUGUUUAAAGGAAAUUAAGGCCAAGAAGUGGGGUUGCCCUGUUUGCCGAACCAAGAUUGAUCAGGUGGUGCGGAUUUACGCUGUCUAAUGCUGCUGAUGGAGAAUCUUUUGCCGGUGAGUUUCAUUAUCAGACAUUGAAAUUUUGUUGCUGUUACCAAUUGCAUUGCAAUAUCAUUGAGGUUUGGCUUUCUAAACACAUCAACAACUUAUGCUUGUAUUAUUCCGGAAAUCAAGAUCCUAAACAUAUCUAGUGCAAAGAGUGAACGAUCAUCCCCAGCAGAGUAUCCUUUUUCCACCAGAAUUGUAGAUGAAAUCUGGCACUUGAAACUCGGUGAUGCUAAAUUUAUACAUAAGUACCAUUUUGUUGACCUUUUCUUGGAUAGUAUGAACUGUAAAUGACCGUGAGUUUAUAUAAGCAUAAUGAUAAUUUAUUAAACAAAUAAUACAUAUUUUAACUUCUC